rnacentral:rRNA from 1 species
AGCGAACGCUGGCGGCAGGCCUAACACAUGCAAGUCGAACGGAUCCUUCGGGAUUAGUGGCGGACGGGUGAGUAACACGUGGGAACGUGCCCUUUGGUUCGGAACAACUCAGGGAAACUUGAGCUAAUACCGGAUGUGCCCUUCGGGGGAAAGAUUUAUCGCCAUUGGAGCGGCCCGCGUCUGAUUAGCUAGUUGGUGAGGUAAAGGCUAACCAAGGCGACGAUCAGUAGCUGGGCUGAGAGGUUGAUCAGCCACAUUGGGACUGAGACACGGCCCAAACUCGUACGGGGGGCAGCAGUGGGGAAUCUUGCGCAAUGGGCGGAAGCCUGACGCAGCCAUGCCGCGUGAAUGAUGAAGGUCUUAGGAUUGUGAAAUUCUUUCGCCGGGGACGAUGAUGACGGUACCCGGAGAAGAAGCGCCGGCUAACUUCGUGCCAGACGCCGCGGUAA